GGUUUCCCACUAUGGCUUGAACUAUUUCUAUAUUUCAACAUGCACUAUAUUGCUUUAGUCUGGAUCACCUCUCUACUUCUCCUUUCAUUCAUGAAGCAUGUACUGUACAACACAACCGCAAUGCAACUAGAAGGAUGACGCAUUCGCUUCCACCACACAGGCAAAAAAGAAGAAGAAGAAUUUUAUCCUGCUCUGACUUUGCGGAUGAUUAAUCCAAAUUGCCCUCCACAAUCCCAAAGGAGUCAAAUUAACAGAGAAAGAGAGGGAGAGACCUUGUGCAAGUUCUCCUAUUGAUUUCAACUGUUCAACUGAGCCUAGCUCCAUUUUCACACUGAGGGUCCCAAGAUAUUCCACUGUGCUAAUCAGUCAUGUAUUUAAUUGCUACUUACCUGCUACAGCAUCUGAGAUCCAUCACAGAAGCCUCUUUAAUUAGGGAUUAAAGAGGAAGCCAAAUACGAUAGCACACUGUUCCUGACAGGAAGGGUCGAAUACAGCCAUUGUUUGGAAACUGGCAAACAAUACCUACUAAAGAAUAACACAUACAGAACCAUGAGAAGUCUUGUCCUUAGUUUUGGUUGGGAAUUUUAAGAAACCAAAGAAGAAAGUCAAUGCAGUUUUGAAAUCAGUAGCGGAAAUCAGGGCAGUUUAGAAAUUUUCACUCCACCAAGUUGAUUCAAAACACUUUCCAGUUCUAUACAAACAUAAACAAAACCUGCUCCCUGA